rnacentral:rRNA from 1 species
GACGUAGGGGGCCAGCGUUGUUCGGAAUUACUGGGUGUAAAGGGUUCGUAGGCGGUGUGGCAAGUCGGGAGUGAAAUUUCUGGGCUCAACUCAGAGACUGCUUCCGAAACUGCUGUGCUUGAGUGCGGGAGAGGCGCGUGGAAUUGCAGGUGUAGCGGUGAAAUGCGUAGAUAUCUGCAGGAACACCCGUGGCGAAAGCGGCGCGCUGGACCACUACUGACGCUGAGGAACGAAAGCUAGGGGAGCAAACAGG